rnacentral:rRNA from 1 species
GAGUUUGAUCAUGGCUCAGGAUGAAGCUAGCGCAGGCCUAAUACAUGCAAGUCGUACGGGAUAAGUUGUAGCAAUACGACUUUGAGAGUGGCGUACGGGUGCGUAACACGUAUGCAACCUACCUUUAACUGGGGGAUAGCCCGGAGAAAUUCGGAUUAAUACCCCAUAAUAUAAUAACAGGGCAUCUUGUUAUUAUCAAAACUCCGGUGGUUAAAGAUGGGCAUGCGGCUGAUUAGCUAGUUGGUGAGGUAAUGGCUCACCAAGGCUACGAUCAGUAGGGGGUCUGAGAGGAUGUCCCCCCACACUGGUACUGAGACACGGACCAGACUCCUACGGGAGGCAGCAGUAGGGAAUAUUGGUCAAUGGACGAAAGUCUGAACCAGCCAUGCCGCGUGCAGGAUGACUGCCCUAUGGGUUGUAAACUGCUUUUAUACGGGAAGAAACCCCUGAACGUGUUCGGGGCUGACGGUACUGUAUGAAUAAGGAUCGGCUAACUUCGUG